rnacentral:rRNA from 1 species
GACGUAGGGCGCAAGCGUUGACCGGAUUUAUUGGGCGUAAAGAGCUCGUAGGCGGCCUGUCGCGUCGACCGUGAAAACCCGCAGCUCAACUGCGGGCUUGCGGUCGAUACGGGCAGGCUGGAGUUCGGUAGGGGAGACUGGAAUUCCUGGUGUAGCGGUGGAAUGCGCAGAUAUCAGGAGGAACACCGAUGGCGAAGGCAGGUCUCUGGGCCAUUACUGACACUGAGAAGCGAAAGCAUGGGGAGCGAACAGG